rnacentral:lncRNA from 1 species
CUUUUUUAUCAAAUUGUAUUUUCGCGGAGUUCAACAGUGAAAAUGUGAAAUAUGUCCAAUUAUUUGAAUUUUUGUUGAUAUUUUGAAAUUGAUAUUAUGUAUUGAUGAGCCAUCAAGUUAAAAUUAAAAAGAAUUCCAAGUUGCAAAUGCUAUUUGGAAGUUGAAUUUGCUCUGCUAGGUUGCAGAGUAUACUUGAAUUUAUUUUAUCAAAAGAUGAAUAUUUAUCAUCUCUUAGUUUCCCCUUCUUUGUCAUAUAUCUUUACGAAAUUGUUGUAGAAAUAUUUAGAUGAUAAUUGGAUUGUGUUGAUAAUGUACUUGGAAGAUCAUACGAGGAAUUUCAGGGAAAAAAGGGUUUGUUGCUUGUGUCCAUUUUAUUUCAGGUGUCCGGAAAAAAAUGUUGAGUGUGGAAAGUAUAUCCAUCCUUGUGCGUUUGGGUCUGUUAUUCAUAUUGAUAGUUGACAUUCCAUGUGAGGAAGCAUAUUUCACAUAAAACAUAUAUUCACUUUGUGUUGUUAGGUAACUAUUGUAGCUUUGCACAUCUGCUUUCGUAAUGGUUUAUUGUUGCACAUUUUAUAGGCUAAUGUUGCUAGAAGAAAUCGAAUUUCUUUCCGUUCAAAUGAUGGAAUGAUGAUUGAUGGCGUUAAAGAUUACUCUCACCUGGUUGCUGAAAUGAUAUGAUUGUCGUAAGUUUUAACUUACUAUGAAUGCUUUUAGUUUUCGUCAACUGCAACUCUAUUAUGUAUUUUGAGCCGAAUAUUUUUAAAUAACAGCAUCAACAUAAUUAAAUUUAUUUUACUCUUGAAACGACAAAUAUGUUUCCUCUUCCUUUUUGAUGAAAGUUAAAUCACAAUAGAUUUGUCUUUUAUAUGAAGAUUUUCUUCUUCUGAAUUGCUGUUGCGCACUGUACUUGAUAUUGGUUGCGGGUCUGGUAGUUUUAGUGCUCGUCUUCUAUCGCUUAAGCUGAUGUGUGACAGCAUAUGAGCCAACAGGUAGACAUGUUCAAUUGGCACUUGAUAGAGGUCUCCCUUCAAUCAAAACUUAAUCUAAAGACAGGUCCCUCUUCAUCCUUUGUCAUAUGAAGUGGUUCACUGCACUCAAUGUAGCAUUGUCUGGGAUAACAAAGGUAUGAUCCUCAUUAAGGUUUGGGGUUUUGUUUUUUUCCAUUAAAUCACCAUUUCUUCAUCAGAUUAAGUGCAGUGGUUUUUAUUGAUUUUUCACCGAUGAAAAUACUUGAAAUUAAUUUGACAUUUAGCCUAAUGUAUUGCGAACUUUUCUGAUCCAAACAAGAAGGAAAAGAAAGCGAAUGAUCCAAACAAGCCAAAGAGACCUCCAAGUGCUUUCUUUGUUUUCAUGUAUGCCCAUUUGCAUUUUUGGUCUCUAUCAUUUCUGUCUAUUGUUCUUAUAUAUUACCUUUUUUAUGCCGCUUGGCAGACUACAACAAUAAUUUGGUAAUCCAUCUAUGAGAAGCACGGUGUUAUACACAGUUUAGUUUGAAUUGUGAUACUGAAACGACUUGUGCCGAACUGUUUUUAUAGGCUAGAGGGGCUGUUGAAUUCGACAAGGCAAAGUCUGAGGUUAAUGGUGAUGAGGACGAUGAGAACAGUGGAGACGUUAGUUGAAAUUAAGCUAUACAACUUUUUUGUACUUGAAACUUUGCUACUAUGUUGACUUUUUAUUUUGUUUUAAUUAAUUUAGGGGGAAGACGAUGAGUAAGCACUAUUACAGAAAACUGGAUUUUGGAUUCAAGGUGAGAACCAACAAUCAAUCUUCCUUCAUUAUUUGCAUUUAUGGCUUCAGGUUUUGUAAAAUGUUCGAUUUGAAAGUGAGUUAAUUGGAUUGGUAGAUUUCAUGAAGAAUUAUUGUGUAAAAUUUGGCUUCAGGUGAAUUUUACUGAAAUUAAUUGAAAGUAAUUAUCAAUAAUACUCCUUUUUUAAUUUUUAUUUUUUAAAGUUGCUAAUGUGUUUGUUCUUCCUUUCAGUGAGGGAACAAGCAUCUCUUUGCCAUUAACUUGGGGCAAAAAAAGAGAGGAAACGUAUGCCUUGUUUUUCAUUAUUGCCUAUUGGUACACAAGACGUAUUUAGAGGAAAGGGGUGGAGGAAGAGGGGGUUGAGUGCUUGUAGACCAUGAGCAAAAAUGGCAGACUACAAUAAGAAUUUGGUAAUUUCAUCUAUGAAAUUCUCUAUUACAAUGCACUACGUGCAUCUCACAUGCGAAGAACUAGUUCGAUAAAUAUUCAAUAUUUUGCAGCAAGCUUCAUAUCUUGUUAAAUUUUGAAGGUCCUUCCUUUUGUGAAAUCAUUUAAGUUAAAAAUGUUAAGAGAGAAAAACAUUAAUUUAUUAAUAUCUUCAAAACUCUUCUUAUGGUGCAGGUAGAUUUAAUUUUUCUAUAAACAUUAAAUUUCUGACUUUGAUGGGGAUGAUGUUAUUAUUUUACAGAUUUUCAUCUGGUCGUCCAUUACCAAUACAAUUUCGAGACUCGAUUUGAUUAGAGACUAAUAGCUCAGUCAUCUACCAGGUCAAGAAAGUUAUUAAUUGGGUUAGUUGCUGUAAGCUUGUGGGCUGACCACCUAUAUGCCUGCUUUGCAUAUAUUUCGUUGCCAGCUCCAAUCCACAUCAUUUGAUGACGUGUUGUUUACAACAAAUUUGACUUGUACACAAUAUCUGUUAUUACGAGAGUUAGAGAGAGAGGCCAAUUCAAACCAUCAUUUGGUGACACAUUUUUUAAGAGCAAUCGUGGAACCUAUAUUUGUUAAGUGAAGUCAAUGUUAUGCUGAAGCAAACAAAAGAUUAUGACGAUUGAGGAUAGUCAAGUUCACAUUUCACUUCUUAUCUUUCCAUUCUCUCUCUUUUAGAGUAAAGAUCAUUUGUAGUAUUUCGUGGCUACCAAAUAUUCAAAUACUCCAGGGAACAUUGUAGAUGUAAAAUUCUGCAUUAUAUAAUAGGAGGAAUUUCUUUUUUUUUUUUUUUUUUCCUAAAUGGAUUAUCAGGUAAGUUGUCAUUAUUUGCAAUAGUAAUAGGCUUUUUAUUAUGAUGUGCAGUUGCACAUGUCCAUGUGUGUCCACGUAUACUUGUGUGUGUAAAUGUGGA